CUCCGGUGAUCCUGCCGGACCCGACUGCUAUCAGAGUGGGACUAAGCCAUGCGAGUCAACAUAGCAAUAUGUGGCAUACGGCUCAGUAACACGUAGUCAACAUGCCCAGGGGACGUGGAUAACCUCGGGAAACUGAGGAUAAACCGCGAUAGGUCAUCACUUCUGGAAUGGGUAAUGACUUAAAUCUAUAUGGCCCCUGGAUUGGACUGCGGCCGAUCAGGCUGUUGGUGAGGUAAUGGCCCACCAAACCUGUAACCGGUACGGGCUCUGAGAGGAGGAGCCCGGAGAUGGGCACUGAGACAAGGGCCCAGGCCCUAUGGGGCGCAGCAGGCGCGAAACCUCUGCAAUAGGCGAAAGCUUGACAGGGUUACUCUGAGUGAUUUCCGUUAAGGAGAUCUUUUGGCACCUCUAAAAAUGGUGCAGAAUAAGGGGUGGGCAAGUCUGGUGUCAGCCGCCGCGGUAAUACCAGCACCCCGAGUGGUCGGGACGUUUAUUGGGCCUAAAGCAUCCGUAGCCGGUUCUACAAGUCUUCCGUUAAAUCCACCUGCUUAACAGAUGGGCUGCGGAAGAUACUAUAGAGCUAGGAGGCGGGAGAGGCAAGCGGUACUCGAUGGGUAGGGGUAAAAUCCGUUGAUCCAUUGAAGACCACCAGUGGCGAAGGCGGCUUGCCAGAACGCGCUCGACGGUGAGGGAUGAAAGCUGGGGGAGCAAACCGGAUUAGAUACCCGGGUAGUCCCAGCUGUAAACGAUGCAGACUCGGUGAUGAGUUGGCUUAUUGCUAACUCAGUGCCGCAGGGAAGCCGUUAAGUUUGCCGCCUGGGGAGUACGGUCGCAAGACUGAAACUUAAAGGAAAUGGGCGGGGGAGCA
rnacentral:rRNA from 1 species